AUUGAACGCUGGCGGCAGGCCUAACACAUGCAAGUCGAACGAGUGGCGGACGGGUGAGCAAUGUCUGGGAAACUGCCUGAUGGAGGGGGAUAACGACUGGAAACGGUAGCUAAUACCGCAUACCAUCAGAUGUGCCCAGAUGGGAUGAGCUUGAUGGUGGGGUAACGGCUAACCAAGGCGACGAUCCCUAGCUGGUCUGAGGGGAUGACCAGCCACACUAGAACUGUGAUACGGCCCUGACUCCUACGGCAGGAGCCAGUUGGGAAUAUUGCACAUUGGGCGCGAGCCUGAUGCAGCCAUGCCGCGUGUAUGACGCAGUCCUUCGGGUUGUAAAGUACUUUCAGCGGUGAGGCGUUACCCGCAGAAGAAGCACCGGCUAACUCCGUGCCAGCAGCCGCGGUAAUAC
rnacentral:rRNA from 1 species